rnacentral:rRNA from 1 species
AGAGUUUGAUUCUGGCUCAGGACGAACGCUGGCGGUGUGCUUAAUACAUGCAAGUCGAACGGACGCAGGGGGCUUGCUCCUUGCGUUAGUGGCGGACGGGUGAGUAACGCGUGAGCAACCUGCCCAUAUCAGGGGAAUAACACAGAGAAAUUUGUGCUAAUACCGCAUAAGACCACGGUAAGGCAUCUUACAGGGGUAAAAGAUUUAUCGGAUAUGGAUGGGCUCGCGUACCAUUAGAUAGUUGGCAGUGUAACGGACUACCAAGUCGACGAUGGUUAGCCGAUCUGAGAGGAUGACCGGCCACAUUGGAACUGAGAAACGGUCCAGACUCCUACGGGAGGCAGCAGUAGGGAAUAUUGGGCAAUGGAGGCAACUCUGACCCAGCAACACCGCGUGAAUGAAGAAGGUCUUCGGAUUGUAAAGUUCUGUGAUGGGGGACGAAGAAAGUGACGGUACCCCAAGAGCAAGCCACGGCUAACUACGUGCCAGCAGCCGCGGUAAUACGUAGGUGGCAAGCGUUGUCCGGAAUGACUGGGCGUAAAGGGUGCGUAGGUGGUCUGUCAAGUUAGCCGUGAAAUUCCGGGGCUCAACUCCGGCGCUACGGCUAAGACUGACGGACUUGAGUGCAGGAGGGGCAAGUGGAAUUCCUAGUGUAGCGGUGGAAUGCGUAGAUAUUAGGAGGAACACCAGAGGCGAAGGCGACUUGCUGGACUGUAACUGACACUGAGGCACGAAAGCGUGGGGAGCAAACAGGAUUAGAUACCCUGGUAGUCCACGCCGUAAACG